GCGAAGACACUUGCAGCAAAGCAAAAUGAAUUCACAACGAUUGUAUCAGAGCUGCAGGUGUGAGAGAGCCUAAGCCUGUCUCAGAGUGCAGGGGACAAGUGGAAAGGAAUGUGUAAGAAUGCCGGUGAAUCAGUUAGAAGCAUGCUUCGAAGCUGUCCGUGUACUUGCCACCCAGAAGCAGAGCCUGGGAGCUACCGAAUUUCUCCAGAAUGCAGUUUACAUUCACCUUGACAAAUCCCUACCUACUCUCUGCUCCUCCUGUCCAUCUGUCUCCCUCCACUUUUCCCCUCCUCUCCUCCUCCCCCAUCUUCACCCUCCCUCGAUGCCCCAGCCUCUAUCACAGAACCUAGAGGAUCUCUGGCCCUCCUGCGUAUGCGCAGUCGGUGCCAGCUGGA